GCGCCAGUAGCUCAGUCGGAUAGAGCACCGGAUUUCUAAUCCGGUGGUCGGGGGUUCAAGUCCUCCCUGGCGCGCCA
rnacentral:tRNA from 1 species